rnacentral:rRNA from 1 species
AUGGCUCCGGGCUCAUCCGCUCUCGCUCUCAAGGCAGCCGCCGUCGCCGCCAUCCUCGCCAUUCUGGUGGUGCCUUCUCUGGGGCGCUGCGGUCACUCUCAGGUGCCAGCAACGCCACCGCCUCCGGCUCUUCCACCAUCACCACCUCCGGCACCGGCGUCGGAGACGAUACUCUGCAAAGACUGUGCAGCCUCCGUCGCCUCGAUCUGCAGCGAUUCGUGCAACGGCGUAGCCGGUGUCUGCGGCAUCUGCAGUCGCGAGGACUGCAGCGGUGCAUGCAACAACGAAAAAGCGGGCAGCAACUGCACCGGCAAUCCAUGCACUGGCAACUGUGAGGUGUGCAACUAUGCAGCUCGAAGCUGCGACGCCUGUCGUGGCGCGAACGAGAGGAAGUGCUUCGGUACCUGCAGCGAUGAGUGA